rnacentral:rRNA from 1 species
UACGGGGGGAGCAAGCGUUGUUCGGAUUUACUGGGCGUAAAGCGCGCGUAGGUGGCUCUAUAAGUCCGUUGUGAAAGUCAAAGGCUACAACCCUUUGAAAGCCCGAUGGAUACUGUAGAGCUAGAGUCCGGAAGAGGCGAGUGGAAUUCCGUGGUGUAGCGGUGGAAUGCGCAGAUAUCAGGAGGAACACCAAUAGCGAAGGCAGCUCGCUGGGACGGUACUGACACUAAGGCGCGAAAGCCAGGGGAGCAAACGGGG